CCCUUAGGUGCUCUGGGCCGCACGCGCGCUACACUGGUCGAUGCAACGAGUUUCUUUCCUUGGCCGACAGGCCUGGGCAAUCUUUGAACAUCGAUCGUGAUCGGGAUAGAUUCUUGUAAUUUUUGAUCUUAAACGAGGAAUUCCUAGUAAACGCAAGUCAUCAGCUUGCAUUGAUUACGUCCCUGCCCUUUGUACACACCGCCCGUCGCACCUACCGAUUGAAUGGUCCGGUGAAAUCUCCGGACUGGCGUGAGUCGGAGCAAUCUGACAAACGCCGGAAAGUUGAUUAAACCUUACCAUUUAGAGGAAGGUGAAGUCGUAACA
rnacentral:rRNA from 1 species